AUUGAACGCUGGCGGCAUGCCUUACACAUGCAAGUCGAACGGCAGCACGGGUGCUUGCACCUGGUGGCGAGUGGCGAACGGGUGAGUAAUACAUCGGAACAUGUCCUGUAGUGGGGGAUAGCCCGGCGAAAGCCGGAUUAAUACCGCAUACGAUCUACGGAUGAAAGCGGGGGACCUUCGGGCAUCGCGCCAUAGGGUUGGCCGAUGGCUGAUUAGCUAGUUGGUGGGGUAAAGGCCUACCAAGGCGACGAUCAGUAGCUGGUCUGAGAGGACGACCAGCCACACUGGGACUGAGACACGGCCCAGACUCCUACGGGAGGCAGCAGUGGGGAAUUUUGGACAAUGGGCGAAAGCCUGAUCCAGCAAUGCCGCGUGUGUGAAGAAGGCCUUCGGGUUGUAAAGCACUUUUGUCCGGAAAGAAAUCCUUGGCCCUAAUACGGUCGGGGGAUGACGGUACCGGAAGAAUAAGCACCGGCUAACUACGUG
rnacentral:rRNA from 1 species